AUUGAAUUUAAUUCAGGAUUAAAUGUUAUAUUGUAUAAUUUAAUUUAUAUUUUAUAUUUUAAUCUAAAAUUAAUAAGGAUAAGCUUAUUAAUUAAUUUAUAAUCUUAAUAUUUUGUUUAAAUUUUGUAGGAUUAAAAAUUUCCAUCAUUUAUUUUGUUAUAAUUAAUUUUAAUUUAUAUUUUAUUUUAGUUAGGUUUAAAUUUUUAUUAAAAAUAAUUAUUUAAUAAAAUAAAUAAUUGUUAUAAUGAUAAAAUUAGUAAGUAAUAUAAUUAAUAUAUAGUAAUUCGGCAAAAUUAUCCUUCACCUGUUUAACAAAAACAUGUUCUAAUGUUUAAAUUUUAUUAGAUUUGACCUGCUCAAUGAUAUUAAUUAAAUAGCCGCAGUAUUUUGACUGUGCGAAGGUAGCAUAAUCAAUUGUCUUUUAAUUGAAGGCUUGUAUGAAAGGUCGGAUGAGGGGAUAACUUUCUUUAUAUUAAAAUAUUGAAUUUAAUAUUUAAGUUAAAAAGCUUAAAUUUUUAAAAGGGACGAGAAGACCCUAUAGAAUUUUAUAUUAUUUAUAAAUUAAUUAUUUUGGUUAGUUUUUAAAUAAUUUUAUAAAUAAUAUUUUGUUGGGGUGACAGUGAGAUUUAUUAAACUCUUAUAAUUUAUAUUAUUGUUGAUUAACAUAUUUAUGAUCCUGAUUAUUUGGAUAAUUAGAU
rnacentral:rRNA from 1 species